GACGAACGCUGGCGGCGUGCUUAACACAUGCAAGUCGAGCGGUAAGGCCCUUUCGGGGGUACACGAGCGGCGAACGGGUGAGUAACACGUGGGUGACCUGCCCUCAGCUCUGGGAUAAGCCUGGGAAACCGGGUCUAAUACUGGAUAUGACUCCAUGACGCAUGUUGUGGGGUGGAAAGCCUUGUGCGGCUGAGGAUGGGCCCGCGGCCUAUCAGCUAGUUGGUGGGGUCAUGGCCCACCAAGGCAA
rnacentral:rRNA from 1 species